rnacentral:rRNA from 1 species
UACAGAGGGUGCAAGCGUUGUUCGGAAUUAUUGGGCGUAAAGGGCGCGUAGGCGGUUCGGCAAGUCUCUAGUGAAAUCUCAGGGCUCAACUCUGAGUCUGCUGGGGAAACUGCCGGGCUUGAGUGUGGGAGAGGAGAGUGGAAUUCCCGGUGUAGCGGUGAAAUGCGUAGAGAUCGGAAGGAACGCCAGUGGUGAAGACGACUACCUGGACCAAUACUGACACUGAGGCGCGAAAGCGUGGGGAUCAAACAGG